GAGUUUGAUCCUGGCUCAGGAUGAACGCUGGCGGCGUGCUUAACACAUGCAAGUCGAACGAAGCUGCUUAACUGAUCUUCUUCGGAAUUGAUGUUUUGUAGACUGAGUGGCGGACGGGUGAGUAACGCGUGGGUAACCUGCCCUGUACAGGGGGAUAACAGUUAGAAAUGACUGCUAAUACCGCAUAAGACCACAGCACCGCAUGGUGCAGGGGUAAAAACUCCGGUGGUACAGGAUGGACCCGCGUCUGAUUAGCUAGUUGGUGAGGUAACGGCUCACCAAGGCGACGAUCAGUAGCCGGCUUGAGAGAGUGAACGGCCACAUUGGGACUGAGACACGGCCCAAACUCCUACGGGAGGCAGCAGUGGGGAAUAUUGCACAAUGGGGGAAACCCUGAUGCAGCGACGCCGCGUGAGUGAAGAAGUAUUUCGGUAUGUAAAGCUCUAUCAGCAGGGAAGAAAAUGACGGUACCUGACUAAGAAGCACCGGCUAAAUACGUGCCAGCCGCCGCGGUAAUUC
rnacentral:rRNA from 1 species